rnacentral:rRNA from 1 species
UACCACUGUAUGCAAGCGUUAUCCGGAAUUAUUGGGCGUAAAGCGUUUGUAGGCGGGCGAGUGUGUUUAAUGUUAAAUCUUAAAGCUCAACUUUGAAAUUGCGUUAAAAACUGCUUGUCUUGAGUAUGGUAGGGGUAAAGGGAAUUCCCAGUGUAGCGGUGAAAUGCGUAGAUAUUGGGAAGAACACUAAACAGCGAAGGCACUUUACUAGGCUAAUACUGACGCUGAGAAACGAAAGGUAAGGUAGCGAAACGGAUUAGAUACCCGUGUAGUCUUACCCGUAAACUAUGGACACUAAACGGUAAAUUUUUAAUUUACUGUUAAAGCUAACGCGUUAAGUGUCCCGCCUGGGGAGUAUGCUUGCAAAAGUGAAACUCAAAGGAAUUGACGGGGGCCCGCACAAGCGGUGGAGCAUGUGGUUUAAUUCGACGGUACACGAAGAACCUUACCAGGAUUUGACAUGCUAGAUAGUUGCUUGAAAGAGUAACGUGCCGUACGGAAUCUAGACACAGGUGGUGCAUGGCUGUCGUCAGUUCGUGUUGUGAAAUGUUGGGUUAAGUCCCGCAACGAACGCAACCCUUGUCUUUAGUUAUUUUCUAAAGAGACUGCCUGUAAUAAACAGGAGGAAGGUAAGGAUGAGGUCAAGUCAUCAUGCCCCUUAUGUCCUGGGCUACACACGUGCUACAAUGGGAAAGACAAUGAGCUGCAAAUCUGUAAAUUUAAGCAAAUCUCUUAAACUUUCUCGUAGUUCGGAUUGUGGGCUGCAACUCGCCCACAUGAAGUUGGAAUCGCUAGUAAUCGCCAGUCAGCUAUAUGGCGGUGAAUCCGUUCCCGGGCCU